UGGGGAAUAUUGCACAAUGGGGGAAACCCUGAUGCAGCGACGCCGCGUGAACGAAGAAGGUAUUCGUAUCGUAAAGUUCUGUCCUAUGGGAAGAUAAUGACAGUACCAUAGAAGAAAGCUCCGGCUAAAUACGUGCCAGCAGCCGCGGUAAUACGUAUGGAGCGAGCGUUGUCCGGAAUUAUUGGGCGUAAAGGGUACGCAGGCGGUUUAAUAAGUCGAAUGUUAAAGAUCGGGGCUCAACCCCGCAAAGCAUUGGAAACUGAUAAACUUGAGUAGCGGAGAAGAAAGUGGAAUUCCUAGUGUAGUGGUGAAAUACGUAGAUAUUAGGAGGAAUACCAGUAGCGAAGGCGACUUUCUGGACACAAACUGACGCUGAGGUACGAAAGCGUGGGGAGCAAACAGG
rnacentral:rRNA from 1 species